ACAAAAAUAUUACCUAACAUUUUUGAAAGGUGAGAGUGUCGUUCAUGACCAUUGGGUUUAGCUAGCGGCGGUGUCACAGUUGUGGGUUACCUCCGCCACCGUGUUCAUUCUUUGGUUGCCCCGUCUUGCUUCUUCCACUCUCACUCUUCCCUUCACCCAAACGCACCGUUUCAAACUUCCCCCUCGAUCGCAUCUCCCUCAUCAGUUAACACCCACCCUAACCCUAAUUCUUCGUUCCCACCAAAAUGUGGUUCGCAACAUCCUCCCCUUCCUUCGUUCUCUUCCUUCCAACCACUAUCCCUUCUCUUCCCCAUUCCCUCCGCCCCCUCUCCUCCCUCCAUCGCCGCCCCCUCGCCGCCUCCCUCUCUUGGGCCCCUCCGUCCCCCGACCAGUCCGAUGACUUCCGCGGUUGGGCCCUCCCGGAGGCCCCUGCUCAAACCGACAACAAAGUUGCAGUGUUUCCUUCUUAUGCAGUUGUGGGCGUCGGUACUUCACUCGCUCUUCUACUCGCUGUUUUUGCUGUUUCCAGGAAAGGUUUUGAUUUUCGACUCGCGAGGCCGUUGCAAGGGAUGUGCGGUGACGUGGAGACUCGGCGUUGUCUAAACGACACCCCGGACUUUGAUGUUUCUGGUGGGAGCAAGUCAACGGUGUCCGAGGCCCGCACGGAGGACGUGUCUGAUACCCUUACGGAAACUGGUAAAUAUGUAGCUGUAGAAAAACCUGAACGAGUUGUGAUCGCGGUUUCUGUGGAUUCUACCCAAGAAGAAGCAUUGUCAGUCUUAAAGUCACUGAAGAUAAUUGAAGAUGAUGCGGAAGCCAAUGAACUGUGUACCAGAAGAGAAUUUGCUAGAUGGCUAGUUAAAUUGAAUUCAUCCUUGGAAAGGAAUCCUAAACACAGGAUUGCUCCUAUAGUAUCACUUUCUGGGUCUGUAGUCACUGCAUUUGAUGAUAUUGGUGUUGAUGACCAGGACUUUAGAUCCAUACAAGUUUUAGCUGAAGCCGGUGUGAUCCCCAGCAAAUUAUCUUGGAACAACAGUUUCAAUUAUAGUGGAUCUGGCAGUCUUGAAAACAUGCACUUUUUUCCUGAUAGAUUCAUCUCACGACAAGAUCUAAUAGACUGGAGAGCUCAGUUGGAGUAUGAUCUUUUUACUGGGCUAACUGACCAGAUAUCAAUUAAAAAAGCAGGUUAUAUGGAUGUGAAGCAGGUCACUUCUCCAGUAGUUUAUGUGGACAUGUUGGCAGGGGAUAGGAGUAUACUUAGAACAGUGUUUGGACAGAGCAAGCGAUUUCAGCCAAACAAGCCUUCCACAAUAGCACAAGCGGCAGUGGCUCUGACAAGUGGUAGGAUGAAGGCAGCAAUAUCGGCUGAACUGUUGAGAAUAGAAGCCGAACAUUCUGCCAGGCAGGCUGAGGCAGAAGAAAUCAGAUCUGAGUUGCUCAGUCGAGGAAACAUGCAGAGGUUUUGGGAUGAGAAGCUUAAUGAUGAGAAAAACCGUGGUUUAGAUGUAGAGAAGCUUUAUCAUAUGGAAGUAAAGAAUUUGGAAGAAGAGGAGAUCAAUCAAGAUAAGUUAUAUACUGAGUAUUUGAAAGAAAAGUCAGCUAUGGAUUGUCAGAAGCAGUUGCUUCUUAGCUUGAAGAAAGAAGUUGAUGAGAUAUCAGAAAAAGUUGCAUCUGAGAGAGUCAUAUAUGUGGAUGAAAGGCUUGUAGUACAAAAUUUGCUCAAAGAUUUAGAAUUCAAGCUUGAAGAAUUGCUUGACACCAAAUCUACUCUGGAAGCUGAAAAAGAAGCUCUUCAGAUUCUUAGCUUCAAACUUUAGCGGCUUCUAUAACCUGAAGAGGGGGAAGGUUUGGGAAUAAGUUACUUGGUGUCAACACAUUGCUGUGUGAUAAACGCGUUCCUUGUAGCUCAAUGAUCUUGGGUGGAGGACGAGGCAAGGAGAAGCCAAGCUCGGGCAGCUGUUCUCGAGGAGGUAGGGCGAAGAUGGAAAUGGGGUGACCAAGCUUGAUUGGGGACACGUCCUACAAAAUGUAAAUUAACAUAUCUACAUAUACACUAAUAGCAUAAAUCCUUUAGGCUACCAUGCUCUGUAUGGUAUUAUGGUCUCUUGUGAGAGAGGAAAGGGUUAAGGUUGAUGACGAGCUUCAUUCUUCGGUGUUAUGUACACAUUCAAAAAGGAAAAUUGUUGAUGUGAGUUGUUUUAAUUCCCGUGGUCCUGAAAGAUUUUCCAUCCCUCUCAUGAGUCGGAUUGGGAGGGAGGGGGAUCACAGCCAGUCUUGUUAUCUACUCAAAAUUUUGUGUGGAUCCUGAUUAGCUAGCUAUUUUUAUGUUUUUGAAGCUUUAAGUGGAAUAACUCCAUAAUGUCGGUCAUCUAUAUAGGAGAUACCAUUCCAGUGGACUGAGUGUGCUUUCAAUUUAUGUUUUUGUCAUAAUAAUGUGAUGAAAUAGACGAAACCAUGAUCUGUUCUAUGGUUAACCUUAAAUUAGAAUGAGAUAUAUAUGACAACUUUUAUACGUUUUA